rnacentral:rRNA from 1 species
CCAAUAGCGUAUAUUAAAGUUGUUGCAGUUAAAAAGCUCGUAGUUGAAUUUCGGGAUCAGUAGGUUGGUCAUGCCUAUGGUAUGUACUGGCUUUACUGGUUCCUCCUUCUUGAUGAUCUGUAAUGUCAUUAAUUUGGUGUUGCAGGGAGUCAGGACUGUUACUUUGAAAAAAUUAGAGUGUUUAAAGCAGGCAUACGCUUGAAUACAUUAGCAUGGAAUAAUGAAAUAGGACGUUCGAACCUAUUUUGUUGGUUUCUAGGAUUGACGUAAUGAUUAAUAGGGAUAGUUGGGGGCAUUAGUAUUCAAUUGUCAGAGGUGAAAUUCUUGGAUUUAUUGAAGACUAACUACUGCGAAAGCAUUUGCCAAGGAUGUUUUCAUUAAUCAAGAACGAAAGUUAGGGGAUCGAAGACGAUCAGAUACCGUUGUAGUCUUAACCAUAAACUAUGCCGACUAGGGAUCGGAUGAUGUUAUUUUUAAUGACUCAUUCGGCGCCUUACG